GAUGAACGCUAGCGGCAGGCUUAACACAUGCAAGUCGAGGGGCAGCGCGGGAUAGCAAUAUCCUGGCGGCGACCGGCGGAAAGGUGCGUAACGCGUGAGCGACAUGCCCGUUGCCCGGGGACAACCGGUGGAAACGCCGACUAAUCCCCGAUGGGAUAUUGUGCCGCAUGGCACGAUAUUGAAAGUUACGGCGGCGACGGAUUGGCUCGCGUCCGAUUAGCUUGUUGGCGGGGUAACGGCCCACCAAGGCUGCGAUCGGUAGGGGUUCUGAGAGGAAGGCCCCCCAAAAUGGGACUGAGACACGGCCCAUACUCCUACGGGAGGCAGCAGUGAGGAAUAUUGGUCAAUGGGCGGAAGCCUGAACCAGCCAUGCCGCGUGCGGGAAGGAGGCCCUAUGGGCUGUGAACCGCUUUUGCCUGGGGGAAAUAAGGGCGUCGCGCACGUCCGAUGAGAGUACCAGGCGAAUAAGCAUCGGCUAACUCCGUG
rnacentral:rRNA from 1 species